rnacentral:rRNA from 1 species
UACGUAGGGUGCGAGCGUUAAUCGGAAUUACUGGGCGUAAAGCGUGCGCAGGCGGUUAUGUAAGACAGAUGUGAAAUUGCCCGGGCUUAACCUGGGAACUGCAUUUGUGACUGCAUGGCUAGAGUUUGGCAGAGGGGGGUAGAAUUCCACGUGUAGCAGUGAAAUGACGUAGAUAUGUGGAGGAACACCGAUGGCGAAGGCAGCCCCCUGGGUCAAGACUGACGCUCAUGCACGAAAGCGUGGGGAGCAACAGG